GGCUUCGUAGCUCAGCUGGUAGAGCGCUUGAUGAGGUGAAGCAUGGUGUUUCUCUCGCUGGUACGAAUCCAGCCGAAGCCC